rnacentral:rRNA from 1 species
AUUGAACGCUGGCGGCAUGCCUUACACAUGCAAGUCGAACGGUAACGGGUCCUUCGGGAUGCCGACGAGUGGCGAACGGGUGAGUAAUAUAUCGGAACGUGCCCAGUAGUGGGGGAUAACUGCUCGAAAGAGCAGCUAAUACCGCAUACGACCUGAGGGUGAAAGGGGGGGAUCGCAAGACCUCUCGCUAUUGGAGCGGCCGAUAUCAGAUUAGCUAGUUGGUGGGGGAAAGGCUUACCAAGGCAACGAUCUGUAGUUGGUCUGAGAGGACGACCAGCCACACUGGGACUGAGACACGGCCCAGACUCCUACGGGAGGCAGCAGUGGGGAAUUUUGGACAAUGGGCGCAAGCCUGAUCCAGCAAUGCCGCGUGCAGGAAGAAGGCCUUCGGGUUGUAAACUGCUUUUGUCAGGGAAGAAAUCUUCUGGGCUAAUACCCCGGGAGGAUGACGGUACCUGAAGAAUAAGCACCGGCUAACUACGUGCCAGCAGCCGCAGUAA